rnacentral:lncRNA from 1 species
UUUAAUUGUAUCACUUUAUUUCAGGGACCUCCGCAGUCGGUCUCCUCUCCUCAUCCCACUCCCAAACCUCAGGGCAGGAAAUGGGCUUGGCUGAGAAGACUCGUGCUUGAUUACCUGGGGAGGUGUGCAGCCCCCAAGAAGAAGGGAGNAGAUUUGAAAAGCACCUCCCCUUCUGAGGAGGCAAUUUUGGUCUGGGACCAGUUGCAAGGGGUAGGAAAGAGAGAUCCAGGGUUGGCCAUAUUUUUAUCCUGGCAAGUGGGUCUCUUACAAAAAGACUCCCUCCGUCCUUCAGGAAACUGCACGUGUACCUGUGCAAGCUACACAGAAUGUGGGACCCCUGUGCUGCUCCCAAGGGAAAGGUUCUGUCUGGAUGUGGGAUGGAUCUAAACAGGCAUACCCGUAUGUUAUCUGUGGNCUAAGGGUAGGGGAGCAGAAGGAAUGGCUGUCCUGUGGAGCUGCUGNAGAGGGAGAUGGAUCCGAAAGUAAAGUGAGGCAGAAGCCAGAGACCAGGAGAAGACAGCAAGAGAUCCUAGAGCAGGCAGUC